GACGAACACUGGCGGCGUGCCUAAUACAUGCAAGUCGAGCGGAACUGGGGGAGCUUGCUCCUUCCAGUUUAGCGGCGGACGGGUGAGUAACACGUGGGCAACCUGCCCUGCAGAUCGGGAUAACUCCGGGAAACCGGUGCUAAUACCGAAUAGUUUGGCGCCUCUCCUGAGGCGCUACGGAAAGACGGUUUCGGCUGUCACUGCAGGAUGGGCCCGCGGCGCAUUAGCUAGUUGGUGGGGUAACGGCCCACCAAGGCGACGAUGCGUAGCCGACCUGAGAGGGUGACCGGCCACACGGGGACUGAGACACGGCCCAGACUCCUACGGGAGGCAGCAGUAGGGAAUCUUCCGCAAUGGACGCAAGUCUGACGGAGCAACGCCGCGUGAGUGACGAAGGUUUUCGGAUCGUAAAACUCUGUUGUGAGGGAAGAACACGUACCAACUAACUAUUGGUACCUUGACGGUACCUCGCCAGAAAGCCACGGCUAACUACGUGCCAGCCGCCGCCGUAA
rnacentral:rRNA from 1 species